GUGAUACUUUACAGAGGAGGGAUGUAUUGAAAGAGACUAUUGCUACUUACAGCGCCGUAUAGCAGCCCUGCUCCUACAUUUUGCUGCCUUACUCUGCCCUGAAUGCUCUGGAGUGGGGAUGGUCCGUCAUUAACUAUAAACUGAUUCUCAUCAGGAAACUGCACAUUAUCUCACCAUCAUUUCAAAGGUCUCGUCUGGCAGAGGUGACGCCAGGAGAUGAUUUAAAGGUGAAAAUGACAAGGUUUCCAGCCCUCAAACCUUGGUUCCUUUUCUGACAAUACAGUCUGAAUGAACCCAAUGUCUUCUUUACUGUGGAAGUAACAUCGGAAGAGAAAAACAUAUAUAUAUUUUUUAAUCCUGAUAAAGAAGAUUAUUGGGAAGCUCUUUUUUUUAAAAAAAUCUCCAAUUGUGGCACAGAUGGAUUUUAGAAAGUGUUAGAGCUUUCCAAUGAACACUAAUAGAGUACUCUGCUCUUGGCUGGAUUUUUCAGAGAAUGGCAAUGGUCUCUGCGAUGUCCUGGGUCCUGUAUUUGUGGAUAAGUGCUUGCGCGGUGCUGCUCUGCCAUGGAUCCCUUCAGCACACUUUUCAGCAGCAUCACCUGCACCGACCAGAUUUCCAUGACUACUCUGGGUCUUCAAACGGCCUCACAGUGUUCUUGCAUCCUCCCCUAAUCCAUGUGGAACAUUUGGGCUACUCGAAGAAAGGCAUCCUACUCAGAGAAAAUACCCCGUGAAUGAAGUGAAGUGAAGUGAAGUUGUUCAGUCGUGUCCAACUCUUUGCGACCCCAUGGACUGUAGCCUACCAGGCUCCUCUGUCCAUGGGAUUCUCCAGGCAAGAAUACUGGAGUGGGUUGCCACUUCCUUCUCCAGAGGAUCUUCCCGACCCAGGUAUCAAACCCAGGUCUCCCGCAUUGGAGGCAGACACUUUAACCUCUGAGCCACUCAGAGAAAAUACCCCAUGAAUAUACCCCAUGAAAAUGCCCCAUGAAAAUUCCAUGAAUCAGUACACAGAGGCUUGACUGAGAACUCUUGAAUACUGCACAAUUUGUAUAAUUUUACAGGGUACUCCUGAAAGCUGUAUUGUAGCUAUGCUUGUAUCCUGACUUUCUCUCUUGUUGGGACAU
rnacentral:lncRNA from 1 species